rnacentral:rRNA from 1 species
AACGAACGCUGGCGGCAGGCCUAACACAUGCAAGUCGAGCGAAGGACUUCGGUCCUUAGCGGCGGACGGGUGAGUAACACGUGGGAACGUGCCCAAAGGUACGGAACAACAGUUGGAAACGACUGCUAAUACCGUAUGUGCCCUACGGGGGAAAGAUUUAUCGCCUUUGGAUCGGCCCGCGUCUGAUUAGGUAGUUGGUGGGGUAAUGGCCUACCAAGCCGACGAUCAGUAGCUGGUUUGAGAGGACGAUCAGCCACACUGGGACUGAGACACGGCCCAG